rfam:Aedes aegypti strain Liverpool supercont1.696 genomic scaffold, whole genome shotgun sequence.
CAACUGGUCCUUUUCAGGACCACCAAAAACAGUUCAAAAUGAGUUA